rnacentral:rRNA from 1 species
GGAUUUAUUGGGUUUAAAGGGAGCGUAGGUGGCCGGUUAAGUCAGUUGUGAAAAGCAGGUGCUCAACAUCUGCCUUGCAGUUGAAACUGUCCGGCUUGAGCGUGUGAGAGGCAGGCGGAAUUCGUGGUGUAGCGGUGAAAUGCUUAGAUAUCACGAAGAACUCCGAUUGCGAAGGCAGCUUGCUGGCCCACGUCUGACACUAAUGCUCGAAAGUGCGGGUAUCGAACAGGAUUAGAUACCCUGGUAGUCCGCACAGUAAACGAUGAAUACUCGCUGUUUGCGAUAGAAUGUAAGCGGCCAAGCGAAAGCGUUAAGUAUUCCACCUGGGGAGUACGCCGGCAACGGUGAAACUCAAAGGAAUUGACGGGGGCCCGCACAAGCGGAGGAACAUGUGGUUUAAUUCGAUGAUACGCGAGGAACCUUACCCGGGCUUGAAUUGCAUACGACGUGCGCGGAGACGCGCAUUCCGCAAGGCGUAUGUGAAGGUGCUGCAUGGUUGUCGUCAGCUCGUGCCGUGAGGUGUCGGCUUAAGUGCCAUAACGAGCGCAACCCUCAUGGACAGUUGCCAUCAGGUUAUGCUGAGGACUCUGUCCAGACUGCCGUCGUAAGAUGCGAGGAAGGCGGGGAUGACGUCAAAUCAGCACGGCCCUUAUGUCCGGGGCUACACACGUGUUACAAUGGGGGGUACAGAGGGCUGCUGCGCGGCGACGCGCGGCCAAUCCCGAAAACCCUUCUCAGUCCGGACUGGAGUCUGCAACCCGACUCCACGAAGCUGGAUUCGCUAGUAAUCGCGCAUCAGCCAUGGCGCGGUGAAUACGUUCCCGGGCCUUGUACACACCGCCCGUCAAGCCA